AAGUACCCUGAGGGAAAGUUGAAAAGCACUCUGAGGAGAGAGUUCAAAAGGACGUGAAAUCGUUUUGGAUGAAACUGAUGGUGGUUAAUGGAGGCUUCAGGAUUCCACGUUAGAUGCGGACGUCCAUUUGGUGACCUAGCCCUUGAAAGGGGGUGGGGUCGCUGAGUGACGAUGGCCGUACUUUGGCGCUCAAUUCAUGGAGUUUACACUGAGAGUCGUACUCGAGCAAGUGGUUACUGGGCGCUUGGGGUCUUAAUUUGUUAGAUUCCUGCGUGUUAUCUAGGGCUCGUCUCGGUACGGCGCUACAAUGAUGGCUUCUUUGCUGUCCUGUUGGACUGGCUCUGGUUUUGUUGGCGAUAGCGUGCUAUUUGCUGAUGAGAUUGGUCUAGGACUGAUAGGCUGCUGAGGUCGUCGUCUCGGUGUCUUCGUUGACUUCCAUCCGACCCGUCUUGAAACACGGACCAAGAAGUCUAGCAUAUGCGCGAGUCAUUGGGUUGUAAACUCAAAGGCGUAAUGAAAGUAAAGGACGAUUCGGUCGUCUUACAUGGGAUCUGGACGGCUUCGGCUGUUCGGCGCACCAUGGCCCCAUCCCAGUUGCUUGCAACGGGGUGGAGGAAGAGCGUAUACGCUAGGACCCGAAAGAUGGUGAACUAUGCCUGAGCAGGAUGAAGCCAGAGGAAACUCUGGUGGAAGUCCGAAGUGGUUCUGACGUGCAAAUCGAUCAUCUGACUUUGGUAUAGGGGCGAAAGACUAAUCGAACCAUCUAGUAGCUG
rnacentral:rRNA from 1 species